GAUGAACGCUGGCGGCGUGCCUAAUACAUGCAAGUCGAGCGAAUGGAUUAAGAGCUUGCUCUUAUGAAGUUAGCGGCGGACGGGUGAGUAACACGUGGGUAACCUGCCCAUAAGACUGGGAUAACUCCGGGAAACCGGGGCUAAUACCGGAUAACAUUUUGAACCGCAUGGUUCGAAAUUGAAAGGCGGCUUCGGCUGUCACUUAUGGAUGGACCCGCGUCGCAUUAGCUAGUUGGUGAGGUAACGGCUCACCAAGGCAACGAGGCGUAGCCGACCGGAGAGGGUGAUCGGCCACACUGGGACUGAGACACGGCCCAGACUCCUACGGGGGGCAGCAGUAGGGAAUCUUCCGCAAUGGACGAAAGUCUGACGGAGCAACGCCGCGUGAGUGAUGAAGGCUUUCGGGUCGUAAAACUCUGUUGUUAGGGAAGAACAAGUGCUAGUUGAAUAAGCUGGCACCUUGACGGUACCUAACCAGAAAGCCACGGCUAACUACGUGCCAGCAGCCGCGGUAA
rnacentral:rRNA from 1 species